rnacentral:rRNA from 1 species
CAGUAGCCGCGGUAAAACGAAGGGUGCAAGCGUUAAUCGGAAUUACUGGGCGUAAAGCGUGCGCAGGCGGUUGUGUAAGACAGGUGUGAAAUCCCCGGGCUUAACCUGGGAACUGCGCUUGUGACUGCACAGCUAGAGUAUGGCAGAGGGGGGUGGAAUUCCACGUGUAGCAGUGAAAUGCGUAGAGAUGUGGAGGAACACCGAUGGCGAAGGCAGCCCCCUGGGCCAAUACUGACGCUCAUGCACGAAAGCGUGGGGAGCAAACAGGAUUAGAUACCCGUGUAGUCCCUGUCUCUUAUAC